rnacentral:rRNA from 1 species
UCAGGAUUAACGCUGGCGGCGUGCCUAAUACAUGCAAGUCGAAUGGUAGCAAUACCAUGGCGAACGGGUGAGUAACACGUAGGUAACCUGUCUUUAAGCCGAGGAUAACCAUUGGAAACGAUGGAUAAUACUGGAUAGGACAUUUGAAGGCAUCUUUGAAUGUUUAAAGAUUUAUCACUUAGAGAGGGGCCUGCGGCGCAUUAGCUAGUUGGUGAGGUGAAGGCUUACCAGGGCGAUGAUGCGUAGCCGGACUGAGAGGUUGAACGGCCACAAUGGAACUGAGAACGGUCCAUACUCCUACGGGAGGCAGCAGUAGGGAAUUUUCGGCAAUGGGCGGAAGCCUGAACCCGAGCAACGCCGCGUGAACGAAGAAGUAUUUCGGUAUGUAAAGUUCUUUUAUUAGGGACGAAAAGACAGAUUGACGGUACCUAAUGAAUAAGCUCCGGCUAACUACGUGCCAGCAGCGGC